GCCGCUGUAGCUCAGUUGGUAGAGCAAAGGACUGAAAAUCCUUUUGUCAAGGGUUCAAUUCCCUUUGGCGGCA
rnacentral:tRNA from 1 species